rnacentral:rRNA from 1 species
GACGAACGCUGGCGGCGUGCUUAACACAUGCAAGUCGAGCGGUAAGGCCCUUUCGGGGGUACACGAGCGGCGAACGGGUGAGUAACACGUGGGUGACCUGCCCUCAGCUCUGGGAUAAGCCUGGGAAACCGGGUCUAAUACUGGAUAUGACUCCAUGACGCAUGUUGUGGGGUGGAAAGCCUUGUGCGGCUGAGGAUGGGCCCGCGGCCUAUCAGCUUGUUGGUGGGGUGANGGCCUACCAAGGCGACGACGGGUAGCCGGCCUGAGAGGGCGGACGGCCACACUGGGACUGAGACACGGCCCAGACUCCUACGGGAGGCAGCA